rnacentral:rRNA from 2 species
GAACCGUAUAACAACAAAAUCCGCAUGGAUUUUGUUUGAACGGUGGCUUCGGCUAUCACCUCUGGAUGAUCCCGCGGCGUAUUAGUUAGUUGGUGAGGUAAAGGCCCACCAAAUACGUAGCCGACCUGAGAGGGUAAUCGGCCACAUUGGGACUGAGACACGGCCCAAACUCCUACGGGAGGCAGCAGUAGGGCCUCUUCCAUUUUGGACGAAAGUCUGAUGGAGCAAUGCCCUGUGAGUGAAGAAGGGUUUCGGCUCGUAAAACUCUGUUGUUAAAGAAGAACACCUUUGAAAGUAACUGUUCAAGGGUUGACGGUAUUUAACCAGAAAGCCACGGCUAACUACGUGCCAGCAGCCGCGGUAAUAGACAGGUGGCAAGCGUUGUCCGGAUUUAUUGGGCGUAAAGCGAGCGCAGGCGGUUUUUUAAGUCUGAUGUGAAAGCCUUCGGCUUAACCGGAGAAGUGCAUCGGAAAGACUUGAGUGCAGAAGAGGACAGUGGAACUCCAUGUGUAGCGGUGGAAUGCGUAGAUAUAUGGAAGAACACCAGUGGCGAAGGCGGCUGUCUAGUCUGUAACUGACGCUGAGGCUCGAAAGCAUGGGUAGCGAACAGGAUUAGAUACCCUGGUAGUCCAUGCCGUAAACGAUGAGUGCUAAGUGUUGGAGGGUUUCCGCCCUUCAGUGCUGCAGCUAACGCAUUAAGCACUCCGCCUGGGGAGUACGACCGCAAGGUUGAAACUCAAAGGAAUUGACGGGGGCCCGCACAAGCGGUGGAGCAUGUUACUUUAAUUCGAAGCUACGCGAAGAACCUUACCAGGUCUUGACCUGCCAAUCUUAGAGAUAAGACGUUCCCUUCGGGGACAGAAUGACAGGUGGUGCAUGGUUGUACCUCAGCUCGUGUCGUGAGAUGAACGGGUUAAGUCCCGCAACGAGCGCAACCCUUAUUAUCAGUUGCCAGCAUUCAGUUGGGCACUCUGGUGAGACUGCCGGUGACAAACCGGAGGAAGGUGGGGAUGACGUCAAAUCAUC